GACGAACGCUGGCGGCCCGCCUAAUACAUGCCAGCAAAACGCUGAAAGACCGACCUUGCUCUUUCCAGAUGAGUAGCAAACGGCUGACUGACACGUAAGUAACCUGACUGGCAUGGGCGCAUAACUAUUGUACACUAUAGCUAAUACCGCAUAACACGAGAUAUCCCAUGAUCGCUGCGUAAAAGGUGCAAUUGACACCACUACCAGACUGGACCUGCGAUUGCAUUAGCUAUUUGGUGAGGUAACGGCCUCCCUAGGGCACGAUACAGACCCCACCUGAUGAGGGUGAUCGGCCACCCUGGGACUGAGACACGGCCCACACUCCUACGACAGGCAUGCGCAGGCAAUCUUCCGUGAUGCACAGAACUCUGACCGAUACAACGCCUACGUGAGAGAAUAACGUUAUCGGAUCGUGAAGCUCUGCUGUACUACAAAAACGAGUGGAGAGCACGGAAAGUUCACACUGUGACCGUAUCUUACCAUAAAGGGACGGCUAGCUACCUGCCACCCCCCGCGGAAAUACUUAUGUCCCGACCGGCGUCCGCAUUUAUUGUACCUCCACCAAGCGCAGGCUGCUACAUAAAUCGGAAGUACAACGCUGAUGCCUAACCAUAGUACGCUUAGGAAACUGUUUAACUCGAGCGCAAGAGGGGAGAGUGGAGUUCCCUGUGUAGCGGUGAAAUGCCUAAAUAUAUGGAAGAACCCCCGUGGGCAAAGCCGCUCUCUGGCUUGACACUGACGCUGAGGCUUGAAAGCGUGGGGAACCAACCAGGAUUAGAUCCCUUGGUAGUCCCCCCCGUAACCGAUGAGUGCUAGGUGUUAGACCCUUUCCAGUCUUUAGUGCCGUAGGUAAAUGCAGUAAGCACUCCCCCCGGGGAGUACGACCGCAAGGUUGAAACUCAAAGGAAUUGACGGGGGACCCCCCCAGCCGGUGGAGCAUGUGGUUUAAUUCCAAACCACCCCAAAAACCCUACCAGGUCUUGACCUCCCUCUGACCGCUCUAGAGAUAGAGUUUUCCUUCUCGACACAAGUGACACGUGGGGCGUGUGUGUCUCCACCUCUCGUCGCGAGAUGUGGUGUUAAAUCCCCGCAUCGAGCGCACCCCCUAUGGUGACUUGCCAUCAUUGAGUUAGGCACUCUCUCAAGACUGCCGCUGAUAUACCGCAGAAGAGUGGGGAUGACACCACAUCAUCUCGCCCCUCAUGACCUGUGCUACACACGUGCUCCAAUGGUUGGUACAACGAGUCAAAAGCCGGCGACGGCCAGCUAAUCUUUUAAAGCCAAUCUCAGUUUGGAUUGUAGGAAGCAACUUGCGUACACGAAGUCGGAAUAGCUAGUAAUCGCGGAUCAGCACGACGCGGUGAAUAAGUUCCCGGCCUG
rnacentral:rRNA from 1 species